UACGUAGGGUGCAAGCGUUAUCCGGAAUUAUUGGGCGUAAAGAGCUCGUAGGCGGUUUUGUCGCGUCUGCUGUGAAAAACUGGAGGCUCAACCUCCAGCCUGCAGUGGGUACGGGGCAGACUAGAGUGCGGUAGGGGGAGAUUGGAAUUCCUGGUGUAGCGGUGGAAUGCGCAGAUAUCAGGGAGGAACACCGGUGGCGAAGGCGGGUCUCUGGGCAGUAACUGACUGAGGAGCGAAAGCGUGGGGGAUCGAACAGG
rnacentral:rRNA from 1 species